AUGCUCACUUCAGCAGCAUAUAUAUAUAUAUAUAGGAACAAUACAGAGAAGACUAGCAUGGCCCCUAUGCAGAAAUGACAUGCGAAUUCAUGAAGCAUUUAUUUUU